rnacentral:ncRNA from 1 species
GCUUAUUUUGCCCAGGCGGAGCUCGACCGCCGAAACAAGCCAUGAUCGCAUUCAUCGACGAUCACCGCACGGUCUACGGGGUCGAGCCGAUCUGCCGACAGCUGCCGAUCGCCCC